rnacentral:SRP_RNA from 1 species
GCUGGGUGUGGUGGGGUACACCUGUGGUCUCAGCUUCUUAGGAGGCUGAGGUGGGAAUAUUGCUUGAGCCUGGGAUGUCAAGGCUGCAGUGAGCCAUGACUGUGCCACUGCACUCCAGCCUGGGCAACAGAGUGAGAUCCCAUCUCUG